GAGUUAUACCUUUUACUGUCUGGAGUUUACUCUAUCAACGUGUGGCAGCCUUUAUGGUGGAAGCAUUCGCCUUUGAUGUGCAAAAGGUUGAGAAGCAGGCUUGGUUUGGAAACUGCUCUACAGUGUCCAAUGGGUGGCUCAAGAAGGGAGACAUUUGGAUGUCCUCAGUCUCCUGACGUCUGGUCACUUCAACACAAUGUGUCAUUGGUGCGUACAGUGAGGUUGUCCACCUCUGGGUCUUCAUCUGUUGCAAAAGAUUUCCUCAUUUGGCUGGUUUGGAAGGACCGAGUGUCAGCAUUACAGGAAAGGCACAGAUGGCUGAAAGCUGGUUAAUGACACAAGUGUCUAUAUGCAUUAAUCAGUGUCAUAGUUGAAUAGGGCAUAUACAUACUCAAUCCAACACACACACACGUGUGAGCACAACAGAUAAACAGGAUAUCUGACAAGGAAGAGCAGAAGGGGUUUUACUUAAUUUCUUUACCAGAGGCAGAUGAAAUACAACACAAGUA